rnacentral:rRNA from 1 species
UUUGUCUGCUUAAUUGCGAUAACGAACGAGACCUCGGCCCUUAAAUAGCCCGGUCCGCGUUUGCGGGCCGCUGGCUUCUUAGGGGGACUAUCGGCUCAAGCCGAUGGAAGUGCGCGGCAAUAACAGGUCUGUGAUGCCCUUAGAUGUUCUGGGCCGCACGCGCGCUACACUGACAGGGCCAGCGAGUACAUCACCUUGGCCGAGAGGUCCGGGUAAUCUUGUUAAACCCUGUCGUGCUGGGGAUAGAGCAUUGCAAUUAUUGCUCUUCAACGAGGAAUGCCUAGUAGGCACGAGUCAUCAGCUCGUGCCGAUUACGUCCCUGCCCUUUGUACACACCGCCCGUCGCUACUACCGAUUGAAUGGCUCGGUGAGGCCUUCGGACUGGCCCAGGAGGGUUGGCAACGACCCCCCAGGGCCGGAAAGUUGGUCAAACCCGGUCAUUUAGAGGAAGUAAAAGUCGUAACAAGGUUUCAGUAGGUGAACCUGCGGAAGGAUCAUUACUUAGUGUAGGGUUCCUAGCGAGCCCAACCUCCCACCCGUGUUUACUGUACGCCAACCCUCUUGGGGGGCCCGCCAUUCCUGGCCGCCGGGGGCUAUCAGCCCCGGGCCCGCGCCCGCCGGAGACACCACGAAAUGUGUUUGAUAUAGGGAAGUGAGAGUUGCUUGUAUCGCAAUCAGUUAAAACUUUCAACAAUGGAUCUGUUGGUUCCCGCACCGAUGAAGAACGCAGAGAAAUGCCAUAACUAGUGUGAAUUGCAGAAUUCCGUGAAUCAUCGAGUCUUUGAACGCACAUUGCGCCCCCUGGUAUUCCGGGGGGCAUGCCUCUCCGAGCGUCAUUGCUGCCCAUCAAGCACGGGUUGUGUGUCGGGUCGUCGUCCCCUCUCCGGGGGGGACGGGCCCCAAAGGCAGCGGCGGCACCGCGUCCGAUCCUCGAGGGUAUGGGGCUUAGUCACCCGUUCAGUAGGCCCGGCCGGCCAUGCACGAACCGUAAAAAAUAUCAAGACAGAGCUACCAAUAUGACGACGAUACCAAG